rnacentral:pre_miRNA from 1 species
UACAUACUCCUUUCGUCCGAAAAUACUUGUCAUCAAAAUGGAUAAAAAAGAUAUAUCUACAUGUAUUUUAGUUCGAGAUACAUCUCUUUUUAUCUAUUUUGAUGACAAGUAUUUCUGAACGGAGGGAGUACAUC